GAUGAACGCUGGCGGCGUGCCUAAUACAUGCAAGUAGAACGCUGAAGGAGGAGCUUGCUCUUCUGGAUGAGUUGCGAACGGGUGAGUAACGCGUAGGUAACCUGCCUGGUAGCGGGGGAUAACUAUUGGAAACGAUAGCUAAUACCGCAUGACAACAGUUAUUGCAUGAUAACUGUUUAAAAGGGGCAACUGCUCCACUACCAGAUGGACCUGCGUUGUAUUAGCUAGUUGGUGAGGUAACGGCUCACCAAGGCGACGAUACAUAGCCGACCUGAGAGGGUGAACGGCCACCCUGGGACUGAGACACGGCCCAGACUCCUACGGGAGGCAGCAGUAGGGAAUCUUCGGCAAUGGACGGAAGUCUGACCGAGCAACGCCGCGUGAGUGAAGAAGGGUUUCGGAUCGUAAAGCUCUGUUGUAAGAGAAGAACGAGUGUGAGAGUGGAAAGUUCACACUGUGACGGUAUCUUACCAGAAAGGGACGGCUAACUACGUG
rnacentral:rRNA from 1 species